ACUUUGUAUUUACUGUUGUUGGAUCUUCUGAGCGUUUGGAUUUUUGCCUUUUUUUUCUGAUUUUUGGUUUCU